UAGUCUGCCAUACGCAGGAAGACCCGCUGAACUGAAGCAUCUCAUUAAGCGGAGGAAAAGAAACUAACUAGGAUUCCCUUAGUAAAGGCGAUCGAAAAGGGAACAGCCCAACGUCUUAAUCCCGCAAGGGAAAUGUAGUCGGUUCACCUAUUGCACUGGUCUAAGUCAGAUGGAAUGCUGCGCGAUUCAGAGUAAAAGCCUCGUAUGACCAACCGCAAGCUUACGAUGGACCGGGGAGAGUCGGAUACUUUGAGAGUAGUGUCUUAAGGGGGUGGUAUGUCCCAUCCAAGGCUAAAUAACGUGAGGAGACCGAUAGAUUACAAGUAGUGUGAACGAAAGAUGAAAAGAACUCUAAAACAGAGGGUGAAAAGUUCCUGAACUUGCUUAGGGUUAAGGCUAUUUAUAGUACCCGUCUUGAAACACGGAUUAGGGAGUUUAUCUGUAGUGCGAGUCUUUGCACGUUAACUGUAAAGGCGUAGAGAAAGCAACUGGCGUUUGCAUGGCUACUGAGCAUUACUGAUAGGACCCGAAAGGUGGUGAACUUUGCCUGCACAGGUUGAAGUCAGGGGAAACUCUGAUGGAGGACCGUACGGGUUAUUGAUGUGCAAAUCAUUUUUCUGAUGUAGGUAAAGGUGCGAAAGACUCAUCGAACCACCUAAUAGCUGGUUUCCUCCGAAGUUUCCCUCAGGAUAGCUGUAAUGCAUUUAGUUAAGGGGAGUAGAGAUAUGGGUAGAGGUGCAGGGAGCCUUCGGGUUCUCAACUUAUUUCCAAACUUCGAACCUCCUUGU
rnacentral:ncRNA from 1 species